UACGAAGGGGAGGCUAGCGUUGUUCGGAAUUACUGGGCGUAAAGGGCGCGUAGGUGGCCUUCUAAGUUGAACGUGAAAUCCCUGGGCUCAACCCAGGAACUGCGUCCAAGACUGGGAGGCUUGAAUCCGGGAGAGGGAUGCGGAAUUCCAGGUGUAGCGGUGAAAUGCGUAGAUAUCGGGAGGAACACCAGUGGCGAAGGCGGCAUCCUGGACCAACACUGACGCUGAGUGAGCGAAAGCCAGGGGAGCAAACGGG
rnacentral:rRNA from 1 species